UUUUAGUUUUUCUUUUUAAAUUAGGAAACUAUUUUUUAUGGUUAUUAAACAAAUAGAAGACUGGUUCUCAAAUGAAAGUAGGAAAGCUAGUGAAAAUUGAUCUCUCUCCCUGGAAUCACUUUUUGAGACAAGAAAACUAUUGUAAAUUUUUGGUAGUCCUUUACAAAAUUUGAAGCUCUAGGUGUCAAACCUGGCUUUCCUCCAUGCCUUAGUCUUAGGUGGUGUUUGUUUUUUUACUUAAUUCUAAAUAGAACUUUAAUGCUUAAUAAUAUUAAAUAUUAGGUUAUUUGUUUUUGUAGUAUUUUAUUUCUAUUAAGUAUUAAAAAGUAAAAAAAUCAAUAUGUUAUUUUUUCUAUUUAAAAAAAGUUACAUAUUUUGGUUUUUUCUUUUUAAUAAAAAGUUUAUAAUAAGUCAUGAAAAAGUAGAAAAACAAACAACCUAAAUUCUAAAACUAAAUUGCUUUCAGCACAAAGCCAAAAAAACAAACACCACCUUAGUUAGUCUCAGUUGGAUGCUUCUCUUUAUAGUCGCUCUCCUUGGAGUCAUGAGGGCUGGUCACAAUAAAAGCUCAAGAAAAGGAACAAGGGAUGAGAAAUGAGAGUGAGGGGAAGAGGGUGUGCGAUUAGGGCUUGAAAAAAAUGAAAGGCAGAGGGAUUUAGAGAUGGAACACGAUGGGGAAUAAGCGAAUAGGGUUUACCUUGGAGAAAGAAUGAGGAAUGGAAGGAAGAUGAAUGAUCACAGGAGGGUUUUAACUUUUAAUAUCUAACCAUUCAACGAAUUGAUCGAUCAAUUAGGUUGUUGGCUCGACUAUUGAGUCAAAAUCAAUUAACUCCUUGAAAAUUCUUAGGUUUUUG
rnacentral:lncRNA from 1 species